CGUAUAUACCUAUAUACUUGAGUUUUUCCCAGAAAAUGAAUUUGAAUGAUUAUACGUUUUGAAAUGCCAUGCAAAGUAUAUGUCUAUUUUAUUAUGCAUUAGUAGUUGCAUAUAUUUAUGAUUGGUACUGCGGACGCACGAGUAAGUGUCAGGUAAGUUCAUAAAUUAAAGAUAUGAGGUUACUUCAGUUAUGUGAGAUAUGAUGUGAUGUAUUGAGAGCUCAUAAACCUGCACCCCGGUGUUAGUGCUCCCACCCAGAGUUAGGGCACAGUCAUUCACGUGAUGUUCACCUCCCGCACCAUAUGCUCACCUUGGAUCCAAGUUAGGGGCACAGGCUUGUCGUACAUACCACUUUAGGUGGUUUCGACUUGUAGGUGACCUGCGAUUAUUCGCACAGCCUUCACGUGAUCGGAGCACUAUAGCACAUUUACUUUACACCUAGUCUUGUCGUCCAGACCACUUUAAGUGGUUCUGACUCAUGUGCAAGAUUUGAUUUGAUAUGAUUGAGAUUGGUUAUGAGCUCUAUAUAUAUAUAUAUAUAUAUAUAUAUAUAUAUAUAUUCAGCCGUGCAUAUUAAGUUAGAGGGAUUUGGCUGAUGCGGUAUCUGGCAUUGAUAUAUUUGUCUGGAUUACUUAUGGCAUUGCAUUGAGAUACUUUGGCAUGGUAUACUUUUAUGGAUUUUCAUCUUGAGUAUGAUUUCUGAUACGGCUUAUUAUUACUAGGGCUGGAAAAAAAUCCCAAAAAUACCAAACCAAAAAUCUCGAAAAUUUUGGUACAAAUCCCAAACUGAUCCCGAACCGUUCGGUACAUGAAUCGGUCUUAUAUUUUUCUUUGUUCGGGAAUCCAAACCGAUAUA
rnacentral:lncRNA from 1 species